UCAGAAGUCCAAAGUGUCACGCUGGUGCUGCAGCCGCGGGCUGUUCCCACUGUAAAACUGACUGAACCAGCGCCUGUGUUUCUGGAUGGCUGAGUCCUCCUUCACCAGGAGAGGCUUGGAGAUGUACUUCUUAUUGUUCCAGAUCAUCACGUCUCGCUCAAACUGGACACAAAAAGAGAUUCGGAGAAAGUCCCUGGAUGGUAAAUUAUUAUUCCAAAAAGCUCUGACAAAGACCAACAGUGAGAUGCAGUAACACUCUCUGUAUAUUUAACUGAGAGAGGUUGGACCUGACUGAGAGAUGACCUGGAAGAGCAGAUGCACAAAGAGGGAAGGGGGGUUGAGUUGUCAGAAUAUGACGAAGCAGGAUUUGUUUUGCUGACUCAGCAUUCUGUAAACAUGUUCGGAGCUUCUGGAGGUCUUGCUUUCAUGACUAAAUGUCCCAAUAACAUGAUUGCUUUUUAAUGUUGCUAUGCUAUGAUGUGAUGUGAUCCUCCAAUCAAAACAUCUCUAGAGUUAUCCUGUAGAAUCCCCUGCUAUGAUAUUCAUCAGUCCAACUCGGUGUAUUCAGAUCUGUCUGUUGUCUUUGCUUGCUGGGAGUGAAUAAAUCUUGGCUGCGCCUGAC